GCGGUAAUACCGGCGGCUCGAGUGGUGGCCACGUUUAUUGGGCUUAAAGCGUUCGUAGCUGGGUCGUUAAGUCUCUUGGGAAAUCCGGCAGCUUAACUGUCGGGCGUCUAAGAGAUACUGGCGAUCUUGGAACCGGGAGAGGUGAGGGGUACUUCGGGGGUAGGAGUGAAAUCCUGUAAUCCUCGAGGGACCACCUGUGGCGAAGGCGCCUCACCAGAACGGCUUCGACAGUGAGGGACGAAAGCCGGGGGAGCAAACCGGAUUAGAUACCCGGGUAGUCCCAGCCGUAAACGAUGUGCGUUAGGUGUAUCGACGACCACGGGUCGUCGAGGUGCCGAAGGGAAACCGUGAAACGUACCGCCUGGGAGGUACGGUCGCAAGGCUGAAACUUAAAGGAAUUGGCGGGGGAGCACCACAACAGGUGGAGCCUGCGGUUUUAAAUUGGACUCAACGCCGGGAAGCUCACCGGAUAAGACAGCUGAAUGAUUGCCGGGCUGAAGACUCUGCAUGACUAGCUGAGAAGUGGUGCAUGG
rnacentral:rRNA from 1 species